AGAUUGUGGAGUACAAAGAUGUCCAAGCCUGCUUCUCGUAGCUCUCAGCUGCUGCUGUCGGAUCAGAAGUGUGCUAAAUGUCUGUUGGAGACGUAUGUCAAGCGGAGCCUCAGCCUGAAUGAAGGAUGCAGGAAACAUCAGCUAAAUAAACACAAAUGGCUUAAACCAGACAGGCAGUCCAGACGGGCGUCCAGUGACACCUCCACCCAGCGUUUGAGAGUAGAGAGGCUCCUGAAGACCAGCGAGUGCCCUGAAUGCACAACACCAGAACUUGUCACUAGGAGAAAGAGCACCAAAGCACCAAACAGAACCAAAUCAUUCUUCAGAGGCUUUCUCCACCUCUUCUCUAAGAAGAAGACCGAGCCCAAAGUGAAAGAUGAGCGAGUUACAGAAACAGACUCUGGACAACAUAUGAUAGAACGGGGGCUUCGCUCUUCUCAGAAAGGCUCAUCUGGCCUCAGUGUGAGGAAAAAACACUCUCUGAGAAGGAUCUUCUUUAGCAAUCAAAAUGAUGAGAAAAGAGAGUCCCUGCAAAAGGACUCCUCUCGUGUUCGUGGAGGCGUGGAGGGGCUUUCAGACGUGAGCGUGGACUCUGAUAAUACAUACUUUGAGAAGGUGUCAGAAGAACUGGAGUUGAUUGUGAAGGAGAUUCAGUUCAGUCCAAAAGAAGAUGCUCCGCUUCUCUCUUCUGCUUCUGCAAGAGACUGCAGCUCUUCAGGUGAUGACACUACAGAGAGGAUUACCAGCCUGCUGAAGCAACAUGGGGAUAUUAUUGAUCAGAAAAUAAGCAGGAACAAGAGUGUCCAAGACUUCCUCCAGAAACUGUCUUACAGCUCCUUCCAGCAGCUGGCUGAUCGCUACAUAGCGCAGAUCCCCAGUCCUCUUCCCCAGACCACAGACGCCUCCCCUGAGCUGGUCAGACUCGCCUUCACCCUGGACUUUACCGCCAAAGUGGCUGGAUUGUGCAGCCAGACAGUCGGUCGGAUCAUGGGGUUUGGUAACCAGUACCUUCAGGAUUCCUUCACACAAAUGUGUGCAGCCCACAGACAGGUAAUAAAAGGGCAAAGGUGUAAUUGUUGGAAGUAAAGUAUUAGGCCACAGUUGGGUCUUGUUUUAUGUUACUAAAAUGCACACUUUGUUUCUUUUUGAGUCUGUUUGAGCUCUUAAAAACCAAAGAUGAUUUUUUUUACCCAUGUAAGUCAAUUAAAAGGUUCAUGGUGUAUUCUUUUAUUAUUUAAUUUUACCUUAGGUUCAGUUAUAAUGUUAGUAAAGAUUGUCAUGAUCAAAACUUCUCAGAUUUUCACCCCCUCUGGUCCCUAGCCUUAAAUAGUCCGUAUUUUUUUUUGUGUGUAAACUGAGAAAAAGUUGCUGAUGGUUUUUAAUCAUCCUGUUCUUUAAUGUCUGCAUUAUAAUGUGACAGAGUCAUAAAACAAUUCAUGCUGAAAUGUGUUGCAAAACAGGGAUCUUGGGUCUCAUUCACUAAUAAUCGUGUGGAUUCCUAAUUCACAACAUCUAUGUACGUACACAAAUAUGCUCUUAACCUUGUUCUAAUGUUAAUGAUUUUGGAGCAUUCUGAAUGAACAAACGCAUGUCUGAGGUCAGUCAUUUGCAUAUUUUUUAAUCACGUAGGACAUGAUGGAAAUAGUUCUCAAAUUGUAGGCCUCUCGCUCUGGUUGGAUAUAUAUAGCUGUCACCACUAGCUGAUGUUCAGGGCCACCUAUGCAUUUAAACACACCCAGAUCUUCAUAAGAGGCCUUUCCACACAAUCUUUCCUUUACAGCCUUUCGUCACUCUAAGCAAACAUAUGAGGCUUUCUAAAGAAACGCUCUCAUCUGAGACAAGUGUAGCAGGAUUCAAACAAUGGCGAGUGUGUUAUCCUUAAAACCAGUUUAAAAACACAACAAACACUUUUAAUACACACCCAGACUACAGACGUAUUAUUAGUCACCAGUACAUAUGCAUAUUUGAGUUUUUAUGCAGAGGAACCUCGCAGCUCAAGCCAUAAUGCAGGUUUUUACACUUUGUGUAUUUGGUGAAAUUUAAUUAGCCAUUUAAAAAUAUAUAUGCAUAAAAUUUAAUCUAUAAGGCCACCCAGAGUAUGUGAUUUUUUUUUUUUUAAGUACAUUGUACUAUAAAAAGCUAUUGGUGAAUCAUCAUGUGUUUGUGAAAACAUUUGCACAAAUGUGUGUUUGCACAGUGUGAACUGUUUACAAAUUGCUCAUUUGCAGAAGGAUAUGCAGAGCAGCAGGUGCUACACACCACCAGAAACAGCACAAGAUUUGGCAGACAUUUCUGCAUUAUUAAUAGAUUAUGGUGAAUUAAAGCACAGUGACUGGGCCAAGUUUCUGUUCACCAAAUGGGUUAAUGUGUGCAUUUAUGCUAAUGCAUGUUAUGUCUGUGACAGGAAAAUUUUGCAGAAGCAUUGGUUGUUUUUGUAGCUCGUUUACAAUAGAUGCUUAUUUUUCCACUGGGGAGGAAGUUGUUUUGAAAUUUAAGGUUUUUCAUUAUAACUCAAACUUUUAGUUUUUAAGUACGUUAGAUAUUAAGUUCCAGUUGUUUCCUGAUUUUGUUUCCUAUUUCUUGUAAAUGGUUUUAAACUGUUUAUUGUAAGUGGUUUGUUCUGAUAUCAUGUUUUUCAUUUCCUGCUAGGUGCCAGAAGAUUUGGAAGAACAGAGUACAAGUGAUACAGACUGACUGUGAAGUCAAAAACGACAAAAAAAAAAAAAGAUAAAAAGUGCAAUAGAGUUAACUCAGGGGGGGGGGAAACUGAUGUAUUUGUAGCUGCUUUUGUGAAUAAGCCAAAUUUAGUAGUUUGUUUAUACUAUAAGUUUACAGUGACUGACUGUGAAAAUUACAACAGUUGAACCUGAUACUAAAACUGUGAAUAAUAUUUGUUUUUUUUACACCAAAUUAGCAUAUUCUACUGAUUUCUGAAUGAUAAUGUGACAUUGAAGACUGAGUAAUGACUGCUUAUUUUAAAUUAUAAUUGAGCUAUUUUAAAAUGUAUUAAAAUAGAAAAAAGUUCUGUUAAAUUGUAAUAACAUUUCAAAAUAUUGCUGUUUUUACUGUAUUGUUAAUUAAAUAAAUGCAGCCUUGGUAAAUAUAAGAGACUUCUUAUAAAAACAUUUUUUAAAAAUCAUACCGGCCCCAAACUUCUGAUCCGUAGUGUACAUUGGAGAUAUUUUGGAGAUAAAUGUGUGACAUUGAGGCUAAACCAUGGAAAACUGAACGUUUAUUGGGGCUGUGUGGAACCUCAUUUCAGAAAUGAUAUUUACGCUAAACAACAUUACACAUGGGUAUAAAAUGUAAGAUAUGGAUCACAACAAUCAUGUGUUAUUUGGCUAGAUCAGGUUGAGCAUCUCCUUGCAUAUAUGGCAUUUCUAAAAGGUAAUUUGUCAUGUUUUUUUAACUGAGGAGAUGGCAUCAGUAUGCUGCAGAUGCAUCAUACGACUGCAUGAUUGAGGCCCAUGUUUCAAUAUACUCUGUUGUGCCAUUGUGCUACAAUCAUUUAGUAAAACCACAUUUGGUUUCUUUUGCAGAGUUUAUGUCUUUAUAAAUGGUUGCCAUGAAAUAAUGGCAGCAUUUGUUAGUGGAUGUGAAUGGCAGCAGUGGCGUCUGGAAUGGUAUUAGCCACCCUUGACAUUUCAGUGCAUCCUGUAUAAAGUUGCACAUUCUGCUUUGAGCACCACUGCUAAUCGAUCUCAACUGAUUCCUGGAGCUUGAAGUCAGAGCUUGAUGAAAGUCCUGUGAUCCAACCACCUAAUUAACCUAACAGCUGUGGCCAUACAACACAGGUAUCCUAUAUAUUUUGAACUGAUUAAAAAUCUGCUUUUAAAUUAGACCAAAAUAAAUAAAUGCUAAGGCAUACAUCUAUAUAUAUAUAUAUAUAUAUAUAUAUAUACACACACACACAUAUUGGUCAGAAAUGUUCUUUGGCACAAAUCAAUAAGAUUGUAAUUUUAAUGUAAAGUUUUCAUUCCUUUUGGUGGCCAUUCAGCUGUAUAUUUCCACAUAUAAAAGCCUGUUUUAAAUGUGUGAGAAAAAUAUUAAGUGUACUAUUGAGCAAACAACACCAACAAGUGGCUAUUUUAUUUUCAUAAUACUAAAGCAAAAUGUUAAAACGUUGACAGCAUAACUGAGAUUGAUAUUUAUAAAUGUAUUUUUUCCACAAAACUAUAUGAAGAUCUGUAUGUUUUUCUUACUGUUACUACUGUUAACCUUAAACUUUGAGUAACCUUAAACAUCUCACAUUGCUUACAUGUUUUUAAUUUCUUUUCACAUCGGCCACGUGCCGCUGUAAUGUGUGCUGCACCUCUGUCUUGCGUCUUCUCCACUUGCUCUCUGUCUCUAGUGAAAACAGGAGCGUGUAGAGCUUUGGGAGGGUCUGUGCCAUGGAGGGACUCGGUGGGAGAACAGCAAAGACGCGCCCAUUCAGAUUCGAGGAGGUCAUCGUGUGUCUCUCAGACAGCUCUCUGCGUCUGUGCUGCUCAGGGUGAACUUGCACAAGUAUAAAACUGAUCAGACUCAGCAUCCUUUGCAAAAGACAGAAGACGGUUAUGAUUUUUUUUCCACAAUGGUAGCAUUAACAAUUAACAGCAGAAAACCUUUUUUAUUUUUAUUGUGUGCUUACAUAUCUCCAAAGGCUUUUCUUGUAGAGGACAGUACAAUUUUGAGUGUAAAAAUCAUGAAGAUCUUAAUCCCAUGCCAGAGCCAGUAUGCCACAGUCAUAGCAUUAGUGAUCCGUUUCUGAUAUCUGCAAAACCACAAAUCACAAGUGCUCAUGAGCAGCAUAAGAAUGUUGCCUUUUAAAAUAAAACCUUGUAGGUCAGGGGUGUCCAAAGUCCAGCACGUGGGCCAAUUGACCCUUCACAAAGAACCGCCCCCCUUUGUUACUGCUAUGUAUUAGGUUUAUAGAGAAUUUUAUUUAAAAUAUUUAUGUAGCCAUGUAUUAAGGGAAUAUAAUGAACAGACCAAAUUACAGACAUUUUUGUCAUGAGCUAGCUGUUUUGUGCAUUUGUAUUUAUACUAAAUAAAUGUGUUUAUAGACUAAAUACCAUGAAGCCAUUCUAUACCACAGAAACCAAAUGUUUUUUUUUUUUAUUAUUAUUAUUAUUUAUUAUUAUUAUUACCAUGCUACAAAGGUGCCAAGUGUGGUUUUACCUUUGGUCAUCAUGAUCUAAAUGUAUGAUACUAUGGAAGGCCAGUGUUUAAUUUUUGUAGGGAUUCUAGUACUCAGUAAGAAUAUUAAAUUUUAACCUUUAAAAACAAUGUUGUUAACAUUUUUACAGAUGUUGCGGCCACCCCUGUUUUAGGCUCUGUGUAUUAUUAAUUUUUCGCUUUUCAUUUUCACUUUUAUGCAUUUAAAGUAAACUAGUGAUGUACCAAAAUGGAUUUUAUACUGAAACCAAUGUUUAUUAAAUAAUCGUUUAAUUAAUUAGUUUAAAGUUGUAUAAACGUAUAAAUUGCACAUAAGGCUGCUUUUAUAUUUAGGAUAUAAUUAUUUUACUACUCCAAUUAAUGGUAACUAGGGAGGUGCUGGUGUAAAAUUUUCCUGUUGCGAUUAAUUGCUAAUGCUUUUAUCACAGUAUACGGUAUUAUCACAGUAUUGAAAUUUAGUUGCAUAAAAAAGUAGUCAUAAUACAGUGUAAUAGGUUUAAUAACUUUUUUUUUCCUAUAACAGAAAUAACUGAACAUUUAAAUACAAUAAAGAAAUACACAAAAAUUUAUAAAGUAAAAAAUUUUACACGGAUGAAAGUGCAAAAAAAUUAUAAAGACCAAUAGCCUAUCGCUUUACAAUAAGACCUCAUUAGUUAACCUUAGUUAAUGCAUUAACAUCCACAAUGAGCAAUAGCUACAUUUGCUACAGAAGAUAUUAAUCUUUGUUAAAAAAUACAAGUCUUAGUUCAUGUUAACGCAGUUGCAACUUUUGAUUUUAACAACGUGUUAUUAAAUAUUGGAAUACCUAAGAUUCCCUUUCAAGGGAACUUUGAACUGCGUCCUCUAGGGGCCGCUAUGGGGAGCUAGAGGAUGCAGUGUC
ensembl:lncRNA